CGGGGUGCAGCAGGCGCGAAAACUCUACAGUGCAGGCAACUGCGAUAGGGGAACAUCGAGUGAUCCUCAUAUUGGGGGUCUGUCCCACCGUCUAAAAAACGGUGGUUAGCAAGGGCCGGGCAAGACCGGUGCCAGCCGCCGCGGUAAUACCGGCGGCUCGAGUGGUGGCCGAUAUUAUUGAGUCUAAAGGGUCCGUAGCCGGCUUUGCAAGUCUCUCGGGAAAUCCAACGGCUUAACCGUUGGUCGUCCGGGGGGUACUACAUUGCUUGGAACUGGGAGAGGUAGGAGGUACUCAGGGGGUAGGAGUGAAAUCCUGUAAUCCUCGGGGGACCACCGGUGGCGAAGGCGUCCUACCAGAACAGGUCCGACGGUGAGGGACGAAAGCUAGGGGCACGAACCGGAUUAGAUACCCGGGUAGUCCUAGCCGUAAACGAUGCUCGCUAGGUGUCACAACAGUCGUGAACUGUUGUGGUGCCGUAGGGAAGCCGUGAAGCGAGCCACUUGGGAAGUACGACCGCAAGGUUGAAACUUAAAGGAAUUGGCGGGGGAGCAC
rnacentral:rRNA from 1 species